rnacentral:rRNA from 1 species
UGGGGAAUAUUGCACAAUGGGCGCAAGCCUGAUGCAGCAACGCCGCGUGAGGGACGACGGCCUUCGGGUUGUAAACCUCUUUUAGUAGGGAAGAAGCGAAAGUGACGGUACCUGCAGAAAAAACGCACCGGCUAACUACGUGCCAGCAGCCGCGGUAAUACGUAGGGUGCGAGCGUUGUCCGGAAUUAUUGGGCGUAAAGAGCUCGUAGGCGGUCUGUCGCGUCUGCUGUGAAAACCCGAGGCUCAACCUCGGGCCUGCAGUGGGUACGGGCAGACUAGAGUGCGGUAGGGGAGAAUGGAAUUCCUGGUGUAGCGGUGGAAUGCGCAGAUAUCAGGAGGAACACCGAUGGCGAAGGCAGUUCUCUGGGCCGUAACUGACGCUGAGGAGCGAAAGCGUGGGGAGCGAACAGGAUUAGAUACCCUGGUAGUCCACGCCGUAAACGUUGGGCGCUAGAUGUGGGGCACCAUUCCACGGUUUCCGUGUCGCAGCUAACGCAUUAAGCGCCCCGCCUGGGGAGUACGGCCGCAAGGCU